ACAAAUAACCCUAAAAUGGAAAAAAAUCCUUCACCAAUACAAUGAAUAUGGGAAAAGAGAAGAUUAGUGUCACAUUGGGAUUUUUUUUUAUCUGUGAGAUAUAUUCUAAGAGGAGAUACUAAAGAGUAAAGGCAUCACCGGAGCAAGAAAAUUCAGUAGCAAAAGUCUUAAACCUUUCAUCUAUGGGAAGGGUGAAUUCUGUGGCUGAAGCUAAGACAAAGAAUGAUCCGCCGUCGACAUAUCAUAGAGAUGGGGAGGAAGGUUCAAGAACCGUAACUGAAGAUCAGAUUCAGAUAGAUGGGGAGCAAACUAAAACCCUAGUUGAAGAGGACCAAAGAGGUGUGGAGGAAGAAUCUAAAACCCUAAUUGAAGAAGACCAAAGAGGUGGGGAGGAAGAAUCAAAAACCCUAAGUGAAGAUCAGAAGGAUGUGGGUGAAUCAAAAACCCUAAUUGAAGAUUUGAAUGUAACAGAGGAAGGGGAAGAGGAAGAGCAAGAAUGUGUGUUGUGCAGGUACAUAAAGGGAGGUGUGUGCAAGGAUGCGUUUAUAAAAUUGGAGAGAUGUUGGGAUGAAGCAAUGAAGAAUAAUAAAGACGAAACAAGUAAAUGUAAGGAGGCAAGACUCAUGUUCAAUGCUUGUAUGAAUGAUAACCCUGUUUACUAUGAGCCCAUUCUUGUUCUUGAAGCUAGAGAGAUGGCUAAGAUGUUGAGCGAGUUGUUGAACGCGGAAAAGGAGGCCAUUCUCGUUGGUGAUGCUGCAGUCAUUGCUAGGACGUUAAACGGGCUGCAAAAAGACGAUGCUGAGCCUAUAACCGUUCUUCCUGCUGAAGCUGCAGCCAUUGGGAAGGCGUUUAGUGAGUUGGAAGCUGGAAAGAAGAAGGAGAAGGAAGCAGAGGGAUCCAAGGGAAACGAGAGUGAUCAACAAAAUCAGAAUUAGGAUAUUCCGAUUUUUUUUGUUUGUCUAAACCCUUACUUUUGUUAAGGAUUGGUUUAGAUUCAGUGUUUCGUUUUGGCAUACUUUCCGUGGGACUGGAGGUGAUCCAUUUGGUGCGGCGACUAAGUAUUGGCCUUGGGAAGAUGGUACCAACUCUGUGUUUUAUGGCUAAGAGAAGAAAAGCAAUCAGUCUCACACUAUCUUCUUCAUGGAUGCCAUCACAAGCACCCAAAAGAUGGCCUUCGUCUUGUUAUCCCUCCUACUGCCACAGCUGUUCUCUUG